GGGGGUGUAGUUCAAUGGUAGAAUAGAGGUCUCCAAAACCUUUGAUGGGGGUUCGAUUCCCUCCACCCCUGCCA
rnacentral:tRNA from 1 species